rnacentral:rRNA from 1 species
CCUACGGGUGGCAGCAGUGAGGAAUAUUGGUCAAUGGGCGAGAGCCUGAACCAGCCAAGUCGCGUGAGGGAGUACUGCCCUAUGGGUUGUAAACCUCUUUUGUCGGGGAGCAAAAGCCGGACGUUUCCGGCUGUGAGAGUACCCGAAGCUAAAGCAUCGGCUAACUCCGGGCCAGCAGCCGCGGUAAUACGGAGGAUGCGAGCGUUAUCGUGAUUUGUUGGGUUUAAAGGGUGCGCAGGCGGCUUUUGAUGUCAGCGGUAAAAUCGUGGGGCUCAACCCCAUCCAGCGGUUGAAACUGGGGAUCUAGAGUGUGCGAGAGGUAUGCGGAAUGCGUGGUGUAGCGGUGAAAUGCAUAGAUAUCACGCAGAACCCCGAUUGCGAAGGCAGCAUACCGGUGCACAACUGACGCUCAGGCACGAAAGCGUGGGUAUCGAACAGGAUUAGAUACCCUUGUAGUC